ACCAAAAACAUUCUUGAAAAACAUAAGAGGUCCAGCCGCCAGUGAUUAUGUUCAACGGCCGCGGUAUCUACCGUGCGAAGGAGCAUGUUUUUAAAAGGAUGUUGAAGGCAUCCGAGGGUUAUACUGUCUCCUUUUUCUAAUCAUGAAACUAAUCUUCCCGUGAAGAAGCGGGAAUAAUUUUAUAAGACGAGAAGACCCUAUGGAGCUUUAAAUAAACAACAAAUAUCUACUUAUCUAAAUUAAGAAAACCAAAAUUAUCAGAUAUAUGAUUGCUAGUUUUAGGUUGGGGUGACCAUGGAGAACAAUACAACCCCCAUGUCGAAAUGAUUUUAAAAUUAGCUGCGAGUAACAACUCCAGCAUCAACACCUUGACGUCAAGGGACCCAAUUUUUAUCAAGAACCAAUUU
rnacentral:rRNA from 1 species